rnacentral:rRNA from 1 species
ACACUUCGGUGGGGAUUAGUGGCGAACGGGUGAGUAACACGUGGGCAAUCUGCCCUUCACUCUGGGACAAGCCCUGGAAACGGGGUCUAAUACCGGAUAUGAGCCUGGGAGGCAUCUCCCGGGUUGUAAAGCUCCGGCGGUGAAGGAUGAGCCCGCGGCCUAUCAGCUUGUUGGUGAGGUAAUGGCUCACCAAGGCGACGACGGGUAGCCGGCCUGAGAGGGCGACCGGCCACACUGGGACUGAGACACGGCCCAGACUCCUACGGGAGGCAGCAGUGGGGAAUAUUGCACAAUGGGCGAAAGCCUGAUGCAGCGACGCCGCGUGAGGGAUGACGGCCUUCGGGUUGUAAACCUCUUUCAGCAGGGAAGAAGCGAAAGUGACGGUACCUGCAGAAGAAGCGCCGGCUAACUACGUGCCAGCAGCCGCGGUAAUACGUAGGGCGCAAGCGUUGUCCGGAAUUAUUGGGCGUAAAGAGCUCGUAGGCGGCUUGUCACGUCGAUUGUGAAAGCCCGAGGCUUAACCUCGGGUCUGCAGUCGAUACGGGCUAGCUAGAGUGUGGUAGGGGAGAUCGGAAUUCCUGGUGUA